rnacentral:rRNA from 1 species
AUUGAACGCUGGCGGCAUGCUUUACACAUGCAAGUCGAACGGCAGCACAGGUGGCAACACCGGGUGGCGAGUGGCGAACGGGUGAGUAAUAUAUCGGAACGUACCUUUCAGUGGGGGAUAACGUAGCGAAAGUUACGCUAAUACCGCAUAUUCUGUGAGCAGGAAAGCAGGGGAUCGCAAGACCUUGCGCUGAUUGAGCGGCCGAUAUCAGAUUAGCUAGUUGGUGAGGUAAAGGCUCACCAAGGCGACGAUCUGUAGCGGGUCUGAGAGGAUGAUCCGCCACACUGGAACUGAGACACGGUCCAGACUCCUACGGGAGGCAGCAGUGGGGAAUAUUGGACAAUGGGGGAAACCCUGAUCCAGCCAUGCCGCGUGAGUGAUGAAGGCCUUCGGUU